rnacentral:rRNA from 1 species
UACGAAGGGUGCAAGCGUUAAUCGGAAUUACUGGGCGUAAAGCGUGCGCAGGCGGCUAUGCAAGACAGAUGUGAAAUCCCCGGGCUCAACCUGGGAACUGCAUUUGUGACUGCAUGGCUAGAGUACGGUAGAGGGGGAUGGAAUUCCGCGUGUAGCAGUGAAAUGCGUAGAUAUGCGGAGGAACACGGAUGGCGAAGGCAAUCCCCUGGACCUGUACUGACGCUCAUGCACGAAAGCGUGGGGAGCAAACAGG